GAUGAACGCUGGCGGCGUGCUUAACACAUGCAAGUCGAACGGAAAGGCCCAAGCUUGCUUGGGUACUCGAGUGGCGAACGGGUGAGUAACACGUGGGUGAUCUGCCCUGCACUUCGGGAUAAGCCUGGGAAACUGGGUCUAAUACCGGAUAGGACCACUUCUUGGAUGUUGUGGUGGAAAGUUUUUUCGGUGUGGGGUGAGCUCGCGGCCUAUCAGCUUGUUGGUGGGGUAAUGGCCUACCAAGGCGUCGACGGGUAGCCGGCCUGUGAGGGUGUACGGCCACAUUGGGACUGAGAGGAGGCCCCGGCUCCUACGGGAGGCAGCAGGGGGGAAUAUUGCCCAAUGGGCGCAAGCCUGAUGCAGCGACGCCGCGUGGGGGAUGACGGCCUUCUGGUUGUAAACUCCUUUCGCUAGGGACGGAGCGUUUUGUGACGGUACCUGGAGAAGAAGCACCGGCUAACUACGUG
rnacentral:rRNA from 1 species